GCGACCCCAGGUCAGUCCGUAGGA
rnacentral:rRNA from 1 species